rnacentral:rRNA from 1 species
GACGAACGCUGGCGGCGUGCUUAACACAUGCAAGUCGAACGGAAAGGCCCUGCUUUUGUGGGGUGCUCGAGUGGCGAACGGGUGAGUAACACGUGAGUAACCUGCCCUUGACUUUGGGAUAACUUCAGGAAACUGGGGCUAAUACCGGAUAGGAGCUCCUGCUGCAUGGUGGGGGUUGGAAAGUCUCGGCGGUUGGGGAUGGACUCGCGGCUUAUCAGCUUGUUGGUGGGGGAGUGGCUUACCAAGGCUUUGACGGGUAGCCGGCCUGAGAGGGUGACCGGCCACAUUGGGACUGAGAUACGGCCCAGACUCCUACGGGAGGCAGCAGUGGGGAAUAUGGCACAAUGGGCGGAAGCCUGAUGCAGCAACGCCGCGUGCGGGAUGACGGCCUUCGGGUUGUAAACCGCUGUCGCCUGUGACGAAGCGUGAGUGACGGUAAUGGGUAAAGAAGCACCGGCUAACUACGUG